AGCUAUUAAAUUGGAGCUCUGAUUCUUUAGCUCUGAGCAAAGAAAAUCAGACUACAUAUGGGUACUUCUCUCUCCUUCUCUAUCUGUCCAUAGCUUUUUCUUCUUGCCAGAUCUAUAUGCUCUAUCCAGAUCAUAAUGUGAUGGUGGCUUAUGAUCAAAAUUAGAUGAUGCCAAGCCACCUCAAGGUUGAAACCCUCUCAUCCUCUCAGCAAUGUUGCCACCGUCGUCCCUCUCCAAACCCGCAACCUCGCCGUUGUCCCUUGACUCCUCCGACCCCCUCUGUGAUGCCAUUAAGGAGCUCCAGCGCCACCAGCGCACUGAUGUUGUGCGAUUGGCAUGGGAACCUCAGAGCUUUCUCCUUCGCACGUUUAAGCUGUCUCUCGGACAGUCCUACUCCUCGCUGCUCGAUCUUAAGCACAAUCUGCAAGAAGGGAUGUAGGGAAAUCCUGUUGCUAAAACCAUGAAGAAUGUUUCAAGAGGCAUGGAUGUUCUUACAGUUCCAUUUACCAUGGGCUUUCCAAAGAUUCCCAAAGUUGUUGAGAAUUCUGAGGGUGCUCGGACCACACCAUCAGUAGUUGCCUUCAAUCAGAAAGGAGAGCUACGAGUUGGUACUCCAGCAAAAUAUCAAGCGGUUACCAACCCAUCAAAGAGUCAGAGAUCUCAGCUUCAACAAAUUGGAAGGAAGUAUUCCUGAUCUUGAAGAUCUUACUCUGAACAGAUUGCAGUACUUGAUACUAGUCCUUCCACGAGAUCCUUAGCUUUAAGCUGUUACAAUGAAGGAAUGAGUGAUAAUGUUUGCAGACUUGGAAUGACAGCUAGUUUGCAAACUUUUUUCUUUUUUCUGUUCUGGUUGUCUUUUUUAUUUCCCUUUUUGAAUUUAUGAGUCUCUCUGUUAUCAUAUUCAAUGACUCAUUCUUGUGAUUAGCUUGCGGUAACCUGUAAAAUUUGUAGGUUUUGUCUGAAUUUAAUUGAUCAAUCAAUUUAUAUUCGUAUUAUUUUUUUCUUGACUUAUAGGGGAAGUGUAGGUUCACCAUAUGCCGAUGGAAGCAAUGGCUAGAGACUAAAUUGUAAUAGAUGGGCAAUUGGGGCUGGCUUUUCCAAUUGGUAUUUUUUGGAUGUUACUUUAAUGUAUUUAAAGUUAGUGCAAGAGAAUGAUAACUAUGCUGCAAUGAGACAAAAGCCCAAAGAUUCUGCAAAGUGGAAGCAUAGCAAGAGCUUAAGUUGCCUUGGGUCAAACUGAGGUCUGCUAUGCUUUAUAGAAUGCAUUGGGUUAUCAGUCUUCCAUCCAUAACACUACUGUCAACGUACACAAAUGAAACUGCAAUUCCUAAGGUUCUUAUUUUGGCAAGGACAAAUCAUUGGAGUUCAAUCUAUUCAAGGUUGAUAGAGCAUACCUAAUGAGAAAAUUAGCAUUAUAGUAACGUUACUUUUUUAAUUUCAUUUUGCAGUUGAUUCUCCUUAGAUCGGAUCUUAAUUUGUAUACAUACCAUACCAUACUGGUGUA